rnacentral:rRNA from 1 species
CCCUUAGAUGUUCUGGGCCGCACGCGCGCUACACUGAUGAAUGCAACGAGCUCUACCCUUGACCGAAAGGCCCGGGUAAACUUGUGAAACUUCAUCGUGAUGGGGAUAGAUUAUUGCAAUUAUUAAUCUUCAACGAGGUAUUCCUAGUAAGCGCGAGUCAUCAGCUCGCGUUGAUUACGUCCCUGCCCUUUGUACACACCGCCCGUCGCUCCUACCGAUUGAAUGGUCCGGUGAAAUCUUCGGAUUGCUGACCAAGAUCCAGCAAUGGAGCUUGGUUGCGAGAAGUUGAUUAAACCUUAUUAUUUAGAGGAAGGAGAAGUCGUAACA